UACAGAGACUGCAAGCGUUAUUCGGAUUCACUGGGCGUAAAGGGUGCGCAGGUGGCCAAGUGUGUCAGGUGUGAAAUCCCGGGGCUUAACUCCGGAACUGCGCCUGAAACUGCUUGGCUAGAGCAUUGGAGAGGGAAGUGGAAUUCACGGUGUAGCAGUGAAAUGCGUAGAUAUCGUGAGGAACACCAGAGGCGAAGGCGACUUCCUGGACAAUUGCUGACACUCAGGCACGAAAGCGUGGGUAGCCAAAGGG
rnacentral:rRNA from 2 species